ACGGGAGGCAGCAGUGAGGAAUAUUGGUCAAUGGACGGAAGUCUGAACCAGCCAUGCCGCGUGCAGGAAUAAGGCCCUAUGGGUCGUAAACUGCUUUUGUGGUGGAGCAAUAAGUCGUACGUGUACGUCGAUGGGAGUACAUCACGAAUAAGCAUCGGCUAACUCCGUGCCAGCAGCCGCGGUAAUACGGAGGAUGCAAGCGUUAUCCGGAUUUAUUGGGUUUAAAGGGUGCGUAGGCUGUGCGGUAAGUCAGGGGUGAAAGCCCGUCGCCUAACGACGGAACUGCCUUUGAUACUGUCGCGCUGGAAUACGGAUGCCGUGGGAGGAAUGAGUAGUGUAGCGGUGAAAUGCAUAGAUAUUACUCAGAACACCGAUUGCGAAGGCAGCUCACGAAUCCGUCAUUGACGCUGAGGCACGAAAGCGUGGGGAUCAAACAGGAUUAGAUACCCUGGUA
rnacentral:rRNA from 1 species